rnacentral:rRNA from 1 species
CAGUCGCCGCGGGAAUACGAAGGGGGCUAGCGUUGUUCGGAUUUACUGGGCGUAAAGCGCACGUAGGCGGAUCGAUCAGUCAGGGGUGAAAUCCCAGAGCUCAACUCUGGAACUGCCUUUGAUACUGUCGAUCUGGAGUAUGGAAGAGGUGAGUGGAAUUCCGAGUGUAGAGGUGAAAUUCGUAGAUAUUCGGAGGAACACCAGUGGCGAAGGCGGCUCACUGGUCCAUUACUGACGCUGAGGUGCGAAAGCGUGGGGAGCAAACAGGAUUAGAUACCCCGGUAGUCCCUGUCUCUUAUAC